rnacentral:rRNA from 1 species
AGUGAACGCUGGCGGCGUGCCUAACACAUGCAAGUCGAGCGAAGUGGCAGCUGUAGCAAUACAGUAUGUACUUAGCGGCAGACGGGUGAGCAACACGUAGACAAACUUUACCUCGUAGAGGGGGAUAGCCCGCCGAAAGGCGGGGUUAAUACCGCGUAAGAUCAAGAAUCGGCAUCGGUUUUUGAUGAAACAUCCGCAAGGAUGGCUAUGAGAGAGGUCUGCGGCCUAUCAGCUAGUUGAUGAGGUAACGGCUCACCAAGGCAACGACGGGUAUCCCGGCCUGAAAGGGUGAUCGGACACACUGACACUGAGACACGGGUCAGACUCCUACGGGAGGCAGCAGUGAGGAAUUUUGGACAAUGGGGGAAACCCCUGAUCCAGCGACGCCGCGUGAGGGAUGAAGGUCUUCGGAUUGUAAACCUCUUUUAGUUCGGGAAUAAGAAAUCUAUAGAAAUAUAGAGAGUGAAUGUACCGAAUGAAU